rnacentral:snRNA from 1 species
AAGAGUGUAGAAGUGCAGUAUCAUAACCAAUGAAGUUAAUCUGAGGUGUGAUUAUUGCUAGUUGAUACUUAUAAAAUCUUAUCGUCAUUGCUCAAUAAAUCUCCUUUUUUGCCAUGUUUAAUAUAAAAAUGACAGGGAACCCUGAAGUGGG